GAGAGAGAGAGAGAGAGAGAGCACCAAAAUUUGGGUUAGAACACCAACUAAUAGUAUUGAUAUUCACCAGUUAAUAGUUGAGUUUGUACUUAUUUUUAUUGACACAGAAAAUACUGUCCAGUUGCUAAAACUAAAUCACAAAGGCAUACAGUGAAAUCAAUGCAGGAUAUAAGUGAAACCAACUAAUUGGGAAUUAACAAUUGACAUCUCUCAUGCCCAAACAGCUACAGAUAGGCAGCCUAUAAGGUGCACUUAAUGGUUACCUUCAUGCACAUCUUGCAGAUGGAAUAUGGCAUGAGACCACCUAAGGUGUGUGCCAUAAGCAGUGAUGGAUGCAAAAAUUCAAUUUAGGAGGUCCAAUUAAAACAUGAACCUUUUCCCUCAUAUCAAGUGGAUAACUCGUUAUGUUAGGUCACAAUCUUGAAUUAGAAGGUUUUCCAUAGCAACCUUAAGUUACUCAACAAUCAAUUGCUUAGAUGUUGAUUGAAUAAGUUGAUUGACCAAUGAUUAUAAUACUGCAAUGGUUGAUAUUUUUUUAUAGAAUCAUUCCAUAACUAUAAAAAUAAAAUUAAACAUUUAAUGAAUAUAGAGACAAAAAUAAACAUCUUAAUUUUUUAAACAAAAUUGGCUUACUAAAAUUUAAAUGGAUUUGUUGUUAAUUCAAAACUACAUUGAAUGUUUAAAAUAUGAAUUAUUGAAUCUCAAAACUAAUUAUUUCAAAACAAUCAUGAAAAGCAAAAUUCAAAUAAAAUUAUAAUUUAAAUGAGAAAGUUCUAACUUCUAAUAUUAUGAAAGAGAAAAAUUUUUUUUCUAAUCUAAGUUUGA
rnacentral:misc_RNA from 1 species